GGGGGGGGGGGGGGGGGGGGUUGGGAGAGGGGGGGGGAGCGGAGAGGGCGGGCGUGGGGGGGGGGGUCGGGUGGCGGACGGGGGAGGAAAACGGGAGUGACGGGGGCGGGACUGUGGGGUAGCUUCAGGAAGGUGGGGGUGAUACCGGAUAGGAGCUGAUGCUGCAUGUGGGGGGUUGGAAAGUUUCGGCGGUUUGGUAUGGACUCGCGUCUUAUCAGCUUGGGGGUGGGGUAGUGUCUUACCAAGGCUUUGACGGGUAGCCGGCCUGAGAGGGUGACCGGCCACAUUGGGACUGAGAUACGGCCCAGACUCCUACGGGAGGCAGCAGUGGGGAAUAUUGCACAAUGGGCGGAAGCCUGAUGCAGCAACGCCGCGUGCGGGAUGACGGCCUUCGGGUUGUAAACCGCUUUCGCCUGUGACGAAGCGUGAGUGACGGUAAUGGGUAAAGAAGCACCGGCUAACUACGUG
rnacentral:rRNA from 1 species